rnacentral:tRNA from 1 species
AGGGCAUAGCUCAGUGGUAGAGCGCAUGCUUAGCAUGCACAAGAUUCUGGGUUCAAUCCCCAGUACCUCUG